UUUAGAACUAUGAUGUUUCUAAUAGUAUACAUGUUUGGAAAUUGCUCCAUUGAACAAGCUUAGGACACAAGUGCUCUUCCCAACAGGUUAUUAUGUAAGUGCCACAACUUCAAUCCGUCGAUUGUUAUGCCUUUGCAAAGUUUAUGAUAGAUAUAGAAGCAUCAUAAUUGAACAUCUGCAUAUCUUAAAUAUUUUAGAAUUUACCUGCUAUUUCAUGAAUACGUUAUUCAUGCAGUACAUAUAUGUGCUUCCUUUUCUCUAUUAAUAGUUUGACAUAUUGUUGUUAAUUGCCCUAAGAGAUCUUGGUUUUGCAUUUGUAUACAUUUCUUCUUGUAUGCUGCAUCCUGCCCAUAUGGAGAAGGCAUAAUAAAUUAUUUUGCGCCCAUCUAUUUUGUGAUCAUUCAUGUAUGCGAUAUUGUUUUUCUUUGUUCCCUUCAUCUACUAGCAAAAUGCACGCUAUUUUCCAUUAGGCGACUUUUCUUACACUUAUUUAUUCUUUGCAGAGUGUGGCAAUAGAAAUCAAUAUAUACACUCAGUUGUUUGCUUAUCCAAGAAGAACCAGUUACGAAGCCGAGGUUAGCUUUGAAUUUUAGUGAUUUGUUUGUUGUCCGCACCAUGUUCACACCCUAUAAUUUCUUGAUCUACUAUUGGUUUCACAACUAAAUUUAUGAUUGGUUUGUAUCCAUGCAGAGGGAACACUUCCCAAGCACUUCAGAUGCAAUUAACACUGACGGUCAAGGAUAGUUAUCUGUCUGAUAUGACAAAGGUAACUCAUCCAUCAUUUGUUAGUGAGACGCCAUAACUAAAUUGAUGAUUUUUUCCACUAAUUUGUUGGAGAUGCUCUGUGAAAAUUUAGUGUUUAGCACAGUUGUUCCCAUGCUUUGCGAUACGUCAUGUUUCACAGCCGAAACAAGAUUCAGUUAGUUUGACUAAAAAAACAUUUCACUUAGUUUUGUUAUAAUAUUUCCAUCAGAUACAUAUGAUUGCAGUUAUUAAGUCCAUUCCACAUUUUUUGUCAUACAUAGUUGCAAUUUAAAGAUGGCCAUUUUGCCAUUAAUGCAGGUUCAAAUUAAUCAUGGAGGUUAUUUGUAUCGAUUCCAAGUUCCUAACGGAACAUAGCUCCCUUUCAUAGACAACUUCUAUAGAUAAUGUGUUACUUCAACAUUGGUGAGGAUGAUUCUUCAUAUAUGCAGUGCUAAGACAACUGAAUAUCAUUGAAAUAUAUUGCAACCCUUUCCAGUAACAACGCACAGGGUAUCAUCUAGUAGUAGAUAUCAGGCGCCUCAUACUUAUGCCGGGGUAGAUAUUUCAGUGAUUGAAAUUUAGUUGCAUGCCUGCAUUCAGUGUCUCAAACAUCACUCUAGAGUCUAGAUACUUAGUCUGCUAUAAUUACUACUAAUCCUGAUGUUUGACAAACAAUCAUGCACUUUGCCUUUCGAAUGACUUGGCCUUCACUUGCCCUUCUCGCCGGUGUAGCUUACAUGGCCCAGGGCCACAUGUUUUCCACCUUUCUUUCAGGUUUCCCCCUUUUUGUGACAGAACUUCAAGAUGGAGAGUAGCAGUGAUUUUGAAGGUACUGCCGAUGCAGGUAAAGUGGAGGAAAAUGUUGAUGCGUGUUGCGGACUAUUGAAAAGCACCCGCCGAGCAAUGAUCAGUCAGGCGGUUACAACUAACAAGAAACGAGCAGGAAAGCUACAAGGACGCUCACUAACAGUGGCACAUAAGCUCUGGCAAGGUCUACCAAGCUGAAUGUUGAUUCUGCUUUCCAUUUGUGAUCAGCUGAGGGAGGUAGGGGGCAAACAGGAGCAGUUCCUGGCUACAGGAUCCACCAGAUUUUCUUGUAGUACCAGUCUUGGUUCAUGACGCAACCCUGCUUGCUAGUUAAUGAAGUCCAUUUGCUGCCAAAAAGGAUAAAAAGAAACUGCUGCACAGAAAGCUCGCUAGAUUCACUACUGAAUCAACUGGAGAACGACCGUAAUGCAUGCUACUCCAUCCGUCACAUUUAUUAUGGAACUGAGGGAGUACCAAUUACAUGGUUUAUGUUUUACUCCCUCCGUUCCUAAAUAUAAGUCUUUUUAGACAUUUUAAAUGGACUACAACAAACGGAUGUAUGUAGACAUAUUUUAAAACGUAGAUUCACUCAUUUUGUUCCGAAUGUAGUCAUUUGUAGGAAUUUCUAGAAAGACUUAUAUUUG
rnacentral:lncRNA from 1 species